rnacentral:rRNA from 1 species
CCCGCACAAGCGGUGGAGCAUGUGGUUUAAUUCGAUGCAACGCGAAGAACCUUACCACCCCUUGACAUCCAGAGAAUCUGUUAGAGAUAAUUGAGUGCCUUCGGGAACUCUGAGACAGGUGCUGCAUGGCUGUCGUCAGCUCGUGUUGUGAAAUGUUGGGUUAAGUCCCGUAACGAGCGCAACCCUUAUCCUUAGUUGCCAGCACAUAAUGGUGGGAACUCUAGGGAGACUGCCGGUGAUAAACCGGAGGAAGGUGGGGACGACGUCAAGUCAUCAUGGCCCUUAUGGGGUGGGCUACACACGUGCUACAAUGGCCAGUACAGAGGGCUGCGAAACCGCGAGGUUAAGCAAAUCCCAGAAAGCUGGUCUUAGUCCGGAUUGGAGUCUGCAACUCGACUCCAUGAAGUUGGAAUCGCUAGUAAUCGCGAAUCAGAACGUCGCGGUGAAUACGUUCCCGGGCCUUGUACACACCGCCCGUCACACCAUGGGAGUGGGUUGCAAAAGAAGUGGGUAGACUAACCUUCGGGAGGUCGCUCACCACUUUGUGAUUCAUGACUGGGGUGAAGUCGUAACAAGGUA